CCCACUCCUUCUCACACCAUUGGCAGACAUCAUUAGUUGAUCACUGCACUCUUUCUCCAUUGAGCGCCACCAUUCUUCCCAACACAGUCUAUACAAAGCACUCCUAAUCCUGGCUCUGUGCUCUGAAUGAAGAAUUAGGAGACAAGGCAUGUACAGGUCUCUUGCAGGGAGGGGCAAUCUAUUGUGGGAUGGUCUGGAUAUGACCCUUUGGAAAUCCUGCUUUUAAUGAACUGAUGAGGAAAGACCCUGGGAAUUGAGCUACAGAGAGAUUAAGCUACUUGCUCAAGGUGACAACAGACACUCACGGGGCAGCAGUGAAGGAGCUGUGUUUACAUGACACUUAAUAUCCAGGAAGGCAUUUCAUAUAUGGGGGUGCCCAUAUCCAAGUAAUCCAACCCCAUGGACUUGGACCAGUGGUGAGCUCAAGAUGAUCUCCACCAUUUGCUUGGCUGUCACCACCUCUGCAACCUGCGGGAAUCGGCUGAUGGCUCCAGAGAAUGACUCCAGCCUUUCAAAUAGAAAAAUGUGGUGUGUUACAUGUUACCCAGGCAGUAGAAGAGAAAGGGGACCUUUAAGAAAAUGUUUUGGAAGGAAAACUAGGGCAGCUUUGAAAUUAUUUUCAUAGUCUUUAAACUCAAAAAAUAAAUCACCAGGGCUAAUAGUUAUAGACAGCAGAACAGGCAGCCAUACUAAGCUCUGUACUUCCUUGAUUCUAACACCUGUUGGGGGGCAUCUCGUGGGCCCAUACUCCAUAAGGCCCUUAAUAUGUAUUGUCUGAAUUAAUCUUCAUGACCAUCUAUCAUCCUCUGGCGUGAGCCCGCAACAUGACCUUGAGCCAGCAUUGAUAUCUCUGGGCCUGGUCCUCUUCUAAUGCCAGGACCAAACUACAAAACACUGACACCAUAGAAUCUUGGUGAAGAAGGAUAUGGAAGAUCAUCUCAUCAACCUCCUUAUUUUACUUAAGGUAAUAGAGACUGAGAAAAUUUAGCCGAUUUUCCCAACGUGGUACUGUGGCAAA